rnacentral:rRNA from 1 species
GAUGAACGCUGGCGGCGUGCCUAAUACAUGCCAGUCGAGCGAACAGACGAGGAGCUUGCUCCUCUGACGUUAGCGGCGGACGGGUGAGUAACACGUGGAUAACCUACCUAUAAGACUGGGAUAACUUCGGGAAACCGGAGCUAAUACCGGAUAAUAUAUUGAACCGCAUGGUUCAAUAGUGAAAGACGGUUUUGCUGUCACUUAUAGAUGGAUCCGCGCCGCAUUAGCUAGUUGGUAAGGUAACGGCUUACCAAGGCGACGAUGCGUAGCCGACCUGAGAGGGUGAUCGGCCACACUGGAACUGAGACACGGUCCAGACUCCUACGGGGGGAAGCAGUAGGGAAUCUUCCGCGAUGGGCGAAAGCCUGAUGGAGCAACGCCGCGUGAGUGAUGAAGGUCUUCGGAUCGUAAAACUCUGUUAUUAGGGAAGAACAAAUGUGUAAGUAACUAUGCACGUCUUGACGGUACCUAAUCAGAAAGCCACGGCUAACUACGUG